UGAACGCUGGCGGCGUGCUUUAUGCAUGCAAGUCGAACGAUGAAGUUGCCUUCGGGGGGAUCAGUGGUGGACGGGUGAUUAGUAAUGCAGGGACCUGCCCUCCUGAAGACCAUAAUAGCUGGAUAAAGUGCCUGCUACUCCAUGAUGGUUGACCUUCGGAAUAAAGUGAGAGGAUCCGCUUCGGUGUUCUGCUACGGGACUGGACCAUGUCCCAUCAUUUAAUUGGUGAGGUAACACCUCAGCAAGGAAAUGACGGGUAUCUGGUCUGAGAGGAUGGUCAGCCACACUGGGACUGAGACACUGCCCAGACUUCUACGGGAGGCUGCAGUCGAGAAUCAUCCGCAAUGGGCGCAAGCCUGACGGUGCGACGCCGCGUGAAGGAUGAAGGCCUUCGGGUUGUAAACUUCUAACACGGGUUAAGAAACGCCUGGCAUUAAUAGUGUCGGGUUUGACGUAACCCCGAGAUGAAGCACUGGCUAACUCCGUGCCAGCAGCCGCGGUAAUACGGAGAGUGCAAGCGUUACUCGGAAUCACUGGGCUUAAAGGACACGUACGCGGCCUCGUAAGUCAGUUGUGAAAGCUCUCGGCUCAACCGAGGAACUGCAGCUGAUACUGCGAAGCUAGAGGACGGUAGGGGAGAGCGGAACUCUUGGUGGAGCGGUGAAAUGCGUACAUAUCAAGAGGAACACCGGUGGCGAAAGCGGCUCUCUGGUCCGUUACUGACGCUGAUGUGUGAAAGCCAAGGUAGCGAACGGGAUUAUAUACCCCGGUAGUCCUGGUCCUAAACCAUGAGCACUAAGUAGUGGAAG
rnacentral:rRNA from 1 species